rnacentral:rRNA from 1 species
UACCAAUGGCGAAGGCAGGUUACCGGCAGAUAAUUGACGCUGAGGUGCGAAAGUGCGGGGAGCGAACAGGAUUAGAUACCCUGGUAGUCCGCACCGUAAACGAUGUACACUAGGUGUCCGGCGUUGAAGCUGGGUGCCAAAGCAAACGUGAUAAGUGUACCGCCUGGGGAGUAUGCCCGCAAGGGU